UACGUAGGGGGCUAGCGUUGUCCGGAAUCAUUGGGCGUAAAGCGCGUGUAGGCGGUCCGGUAAGUCCGCUGUGAAAGUCGAGGGCUCAACCCUCGAAUGCCGGUGGAUACUGUCGGGCUAGAGUACGGAAGAGGCGAGUGGAAUUCCUGGUGUAGCGGUGAAAUGCGUAGAUAUCUGGAGGAAUACCGGUGGCGAAGGCGGCAUCCUGGACCAUUACUGACGCUGAGGCGCGAAAGCUAGGGGAGCAAACGGG
rnacentral:rRNA from 1 species